AAUUGCAGAUCUUAGCUUAGUGCGUGAGCUCAUGGAACUUGAGGCAAAGCACAAGCAUUUGAAACCAAGGCAAAGGAUAUGCAGUGUGAAUUAACUACAGCAAAAGACAAGCUGGAAAAAUCAAGGACAGAAAUCCAUGGCACAUGAUCAGAGAGAGGUAACAUCUACCCCGAAUUCACCUUUAUUGUCAUUGGCCAAGCAAAUUGAGAAGGAAAAACAUGUGUUUGUCGGUUGAAAAAAUGCCAUUCAGAACUUGCAAAAUCAAAG
rnacentral:misc_RNA from 1 species